rnacentral:rRNA from 1 species
UACGUAGGGGGCAAGCGUUGUCCGGAAUUAUUGGGCGUAAAGCGCGUGUAGGCGGUCCGGUAAGUCAGCUGUGAAAGUCCAGGGCUCAACCCUGGGAUGCCGGCUGAUACUGCCAGACGUAGAGUCCGGAAGAGGCGAGUGGAAUUCCCGGUGUAGCGGUGAAAUGCGCAGAUAUCGGGAGGAACACCAGUGGCGAAGGCGGUUGCCUGGAGCUUUGCUGACGCUGAUGCGCGAAAGCGUGGGGAGCAAACAGGG